AAGGGGAUAAUUACCAUUAUUAUAUUUUCAUAUAUUACCCCGGAGAUUACCGAGCCAUUUGAGUCACGUGACAUUUGUAAAAAUCCAAAGCGUGCAAAAUGCCGGAGAAGGAUAGCGAACCAGAACAGUUCAGAAAAAUUUUCAUUGGUGGUUUGUCAUACGAAACCAAUGAAGAUGGUUUAAAGAAACAUUUUGAAAAAUGGGGCAGAGUUGUAGAUGUGGUGGUCAUGAAAGACCCGCGAUCUAAAAGGUCACGAGGUUUCGGUUUCAUUACGUAUGAGAAGGCAGAGCAGGUGGAUGAAGCCCAAGAAGCCAGACCACAUAAAAUAGAUGGCAGGGAAGUGGAGACCAAGAGAGCUACACCCAGAGAGGAUUCAGGCAAGCCAGAGGCCCAGGCAGCCUCCAAAAAGAUCUUCAUUGGAGGUUUGAAGGAAGAGGUGGAAGAGAAACAUCUCAGAGAUCAUUUCUCAGAGUUUGGGAAUGUUGAAUCUGUGGACAUCAUUACAGACAAGGACACCAAAAAGAAGCGAGGGUUUGCCUUUGUCAGUUUCAAUGACUAUGACCCCGUGGAUAAGAUAGUGUUGAAGCGUAAUCAUACUAUCUGUGGCAAGAGCUGUGAGGUGAAGAAAGCUCUGUCUAAACAAGAACUACAGGCUGCCAAGGAACGUGCAAUGGAACGCAACAUGGGCGGCGGAGGCGGUGGCAUGGGGCGUCAUGGGGGACGUGGAGAUUUCCGUCAGGGUGGAGGAAGGUUUGACAGAGGAGGUGGCCGCAACUUUGGUGGUGGUGGCGGCGGUGGAAACUUCAACAGUGGUGGCUACGGAGGUGGCGGUGGAGGAUAUGGUGGCGGCGGAGGUGGUUAUGGAGGAGGGUCUGAUAGGGGCAAUUGGCAAGGGGGCAGCGGCCGGAACUUUGGGGGCGGAAGUGGCGGAGGAAUGAUGGGAGGAGGCGGAGGAGGAAUGAUGGGUGGAGGAAACAUGGGCGGUGGCUUCGGAGGAGGAGGCUCAGGUGGAGGUGGCAACUACGGCAGUGGAGGUGGUGGCUACGGCGGAGGUGGCGGCGGCUAUGGAGGCGGCGGUGGUGGUUACGGAGGUGGCUCUGGAAGUUAUGGCGGCAACCAAGGAGGUGGCUAUGGCGGGGGCAACCAAGGUGGCUACCAAGGAGGUAGUCAGGGUGGCAACUAUGGCGGCGGGCCAGGGGGCUAUGGUGGCGGUGGCCAGAGCGGAGGAUUUGGUGGAGGCGGUGGUGCCAACAACUACGGCGGUCCAGGAGGUGGCUACAGCAACCAAGGUGGGGGCUCAGGCAGUUAUGGAGGUGGCAACUUUGGCAGCAGUGGAGGGCAGGGCAAUUUUGGAGGUGGCGGAGGCGGGCCCCAAGGUGGCUGGGGCGGAGAUUACGGCAAUGGCGGAGGUAGUGGCGGCGGUGGCUACGACAACUACAGUCAAGGGGGCGGUGCCAUGAAAUCUCAGAACUACACACAGAGAGGAUCAGGUCCCUAUGGCGGUGGCUAUGGCCCAGGUGGAGGUGGUGGUCAAAUGGGCGGUGGAUACCAGAGUGGUGGGGGUGGCUAUGGCGGUGGGGGGAACUUCCGCCGCUAAGCCCUCAACUAGCUCUCUCUGACUGGUUUUGUUGGCAAGAGGUACUGGUAGCACUGAGGAAAAGGAUGUUCCAACCACAAGCCAGCUCCAAUAUGGCUGGAGGAAACGUGCAAGGCAGAAGCAGAUGGGUUGGCUGUGCUUAGAAAGUUGUGUGUGUAUCCAGCAACGAGUUGGGAUAAUCUGUUGGGAUCACCUCAGAACCUAUAUAUCAGGUCACUUGAAAACUGGCCGUGAUGCAUGAUUCCUCGCGGCAGCAUCGGGGUGGCACAGGAAUUGAAUUCAGCGUCUCAAGACCGUAUCCCUGUCAUGAAUUAUGGUGACAACAUGUAGAAUGAUUUAGCUGGCCAGGCAUGACGUUUGAUUCCGGAUACGCUCAAUAUUCACGUGUCACAGUGUCGGGUUUCACGUCUAAUGUAUCGAUUUCACUAUCAUUUAAAUUAUCUGAAAUCCUCAGUGACACGCCUGACAAGACUGAAGGACAAACGAUGAGCCUGACAAGACUUAAGGACAAAUUAUUGUGUAACUGGAGUCAUGAGUCACACUAAGAAAUUUGAAAGUGAAGAAGACUUGAGAGAAGGUGAUAUAAACAAACUAUGAAACAUUUCCUUUGUCUUACAAAGAGAUGGGACAGUCCUGAUAUUAUCUGAAAAAUGUACAAAGAAAUGCUCAGGUGUGAAAUUUUUUUAUCAGUAGGUGUAUAAAUAAAGAAUCGCUGUGAAUGGG